rnacentral:lncRNA from 10 species
GUUUCCGUGGGCAGGUGGUUUGGGUGUUGGUGGUAGAAUAAUGCAAACCCACUUUCAUCACUUUUAGCACAACUAAAAUGCAGUCCCAUGGAAGUAGCUGUCCCCUUCCUUUAAAAACGUCCGUCAGAUGCUCCCUGACCCUCUUCUAAAAAAAAAAAAAAAAGAAAGAAAGAAAGAAAAAAACGUGUAUAUGUUCUUUUGUCUGGGAAAUUGAUUUUUAUUAGCAUUUGGAGACUCCCCUGGCGAUGGACUACAGGACUGAAGGAGAACAGCUCAAAUUGGCGGUGUAGCCACCUUACUAAUUCAAGAGAAAUGGCUGUUGCUAGAAGGUGUGAUUGCAGGGUGCUCUUUAGAAAGGUUUUAGAAGGAAGACAUUGUUAACUUUAGUUAGAGGCGAUUGGUAACUGAACAUAGAUAAACUUACUUGUAUUCCUUAGGUGAAAAUUGUCAUCUAUGACCAUUUAUUUGUAUUUUGAUAAAAAUCUAAUACAUAUAUCCAAACUGUUCCUUUGCAAGUUUUUCCAACUCAGUUGACAAAAUAAGCAUAUAGAUGAUUACAUCUACUUCCUUCCCAAUAGUAGGGAACUUCUUAAAUACUUGAGUUAAUUGAACACCCUAAAAGAUUGGGAGGUGAAAAUAUUUGCCUCAUUCACUCAGUCUUGAGGCUGGGAGAUGUCUACUCAUUAGCAUACCUGUUGGCACAGCAGGCCUCAUCAUCAUUUAAGUAUCCAAAUAAUUUGAUUUUUGACUGGUAUUUAUUCAUGAUAUGUCAUGUAACACAAAGUACAAUGUAGAAUUGGCAGUUAUUUAGUUAAUUAGGUCGCUCUACACUGCCAAGUAGUUUUUUCCUUCCUGAUUAAAUGAAAAAUGAAUUAUCUGCUGAAUUUUCACCAGUAUUAAAUUGACGUAGCCCUGCUAUAUGCCAUCCCAUUUGCAAACCAAUGUGUAAUUUAGGAAAAUUUUAGUAUUAAGAGUGAAAGUUGAUUGAGUCAUUAAUUAAAUGAAAUGAACAAAAGGAAGUUACUGUUUAGAAUAGUUAUUCCUUUAUAAAUAUCUUUCUCCUAGAUUUGUAAUUGACACAGUAGUUAAUCUUUUAAGAUAAUAUUUAAGGCUCCCUGGUUUUAUCAUUUUUAAUCAAGUAAAAUAUAUUCAUCAUAACUAUGUUAAAGCUGUACAAAGUUAUGCCUAAUUUAGUUGCUUCAUUAAAAAUUACUGAAUAUAAAAUAGUCAAGAAACAAAUUGUGACUAUAUCAUUUUAAUUUUGUUGCUUCAAGCAGAGACACAAGAAUAUUGAAAAUUCCAAAGGCUUUGUAAACAUUGUCUAAUUAUUAUUGUUGUUGUUAUCAUUUUAGAUUUCUAUUUCUCUUUAGAGUGAACAGGAAUUUCAAAAUCCAAAAAUUUAAACAUUUAUGUAAUUUUAACUUUCUAAACAUUUAUUGAAUUCUGAAUUUUUUUUUAAUGCUGCAAUAUCUGUAAUCCUUGAAAAAGGUAGUCAACACGUGUAUAAAAAGUAUUUACCCCCCCAUACAUUUUUAUAUUCUCUUUAUUUUGUGGUUUCAGCAAGGCAUAAUUUUGCUUAGAACAUAUUUCUUAAUUCCUUCUGAGUAUUUUUGGAGAAAUUAUUAAUUAGAAGACUAUAUUAUUUCAUUUUUCAAAACUAUGUAUAUAAUCUCUAUAUAUGGUGAUACAAAAGUAUGUAUUUUCUCUUUAAAUGCUAAUCAUUGGUUAUAAUGUGGCGGCCUGGGACAUUUUGGAUCUUUCUAAAAAUUUAAAAACUGGUUUGUUGAAUAUUUCUAAUAAUUUUCACAUUUAUUUCACUGAAUGGAGCCCAUUUAUUUAAAAUAAAUAUUAAGAAUUUGAA